GAAGCUCUAGCAGGGAGAGCCA
rnacentral:miRNA from 1 species